AGAGGCGCGGCGAAGGCGGAGCGCUGCUGGGCUGCACCUGGCGCGCCUGGGUCCUGCCUUUUCCUCCCCGGCGGGUCCCCCGAGAGACUGGCGGACGAGGCGGUGCUCCGGCGGCCAGCGAAGCGUCCUCCUCCUCCUCCUCCUCCAGCACCAGCGUGCAGCAGCCCGGGGAGGCGGGCCCUGCAGGGCGCCGGUGUGCUGGGGCGCGACCGGGGGCAGGCAGCCAGCCAGACGCGCCGGGGCGAGCAAGAGAUGGUGCGCCACGCUCGCCAUCCGUCGCCGCCGUCCAGCAACAGCAGCACUCGAGGCACAGACGCCAGGGCCGCCGCCCCAACCCCAACCCCCAGCUGCAGUCGCGGCCGGCGCCUCCCCGCGCGAGCCUAGCGCCCCCCUCGCGGAGACGAGACUACUUGAAUUAAAGUUGGGAGAUCUGGGCACAUAGCUCAUGCUGACAAUAAGCCAUGGCAGCCGACGACAAAGUAGCUAUUUUAACCGACGACGAAGAGGAGCAAAAGAGGAAGUAUGUGCUCGCUGACCCUUUCAACGGGAUUUCCAAGGAGCCAGACCCCCAAACCCAAAGCGAUACACCUUCGACAGAGACCACCACCACCAUUCCGGACGAGGAACUGGAUUGGCUCGAAAAGCACUGUGUCAAAGUGAACAACGAUCUCCUGAUCUCCAAAGUCUUUUAUUUUUUCUUUUAUGCUGCUUACGGUUCGCUCUACCCACUGCUUCCUGUGUAUUACAAGCAGCUGGGCAUGACGCCCAGCCAGAGCGGGCUGCUGGUGGGCAUCAGGUACUUCAUUGAGUUCUGCAGCGCUCCGUUCUGGGGUGUGGUGGCGGACCGCUUCAAAAAAGGGAAAGUCGUCCUCCUCUUCUCCCUUUUGUGUUGGGUGCUGUUCAAUUUGGGAAUCGGGUUCGUCAAACCGGCUACCUUAAGGUGCGUACCAAAGUUCCUGCCGCCAGUCUCUCCUACCAACGCCAGCCACCUCUCGACGGCAACCACGCAAAACGUCUCCCUCCCUUCGGCGAUUCCUACCACCCGGGCUGCGUCGCCAGAGGGCCGGAGGAAAAGAGACGUUUCUUCUUAUAGCUUGGUGGCGGCGAGCUCAGCUCCUCCUGAAACCACAUUCCCUCUCACCACGCGGAACAUGUUGAGGUCCGAAGAGAGCGUGGUUACUCACAGUACUCCGAAAGGCAUCGUUACUGCCGGAUCGUUGGGGAAUUUAACCCCUCCGACAGUGCCUCCUGCCGCCACCACCGGGGCUGCCACUCUCGUCUACGAUCACCAGGAAGUGGAGGCGAUCUUCCUGCUCAUCCUGAUGGUUGUUAUCAUAGGGGAGUUUUUCAGCGCGUCGUCGGUCACGAUUGUGGACACGAUCACCCUGCAGUACCUCGGCAAGCACCGAGAUCGCUACGGGCUCCAGCGCAUGUGGGGCUCUCUGGGCUGGGGCCUGGCCAUGCUCUCGGUAGGAAUCGGCAUCGACGCCACCCGUAUCGAUGUGCUCAUCGAAGGGCAAGGCUGCAAAGCCCCGGAAUACAAGAACUACAGGAUUGUUUUCAUCGUCUUUGGUGUGCUAAUGACACUCUCCUUGGUUGUGGCCACCCAGUUCCGGUUCCACUACAACCACUACAAGCAAGAGGAGAACCAAAGCAAAGAUGGGGACAUCUCCCAGGUGGACAGGAACUCCUCCCACGACUCCUCCAAUGACACCCCGAGUGACACAAGCCAGUCGCCCUCCUUUAGUUUCUGGGACUUGAUAAAGCUGCUCUGCAGUAUCCAAUAUGGCUCCGUGCUCUUUGUAGCUUGGUUCAUGGGCUUUGGGUACGGAUUUGUGUUCACCUUCCUUUACUGGCACUUGGAGGACUUGAACGGCACCACCACGCUCUUCGGGGUCUGCUCCGUCCUGAGUCACGUGUCCGAACUGACCGCGUAUUUCUUCAGCCACAAGUUGAUCGAGCUAAUUGGACACAUCAGAGUCCUGUAUAUCGGCCUUGCUUGUAACACAGCUCGUUAUAUUUACAUCUCCUACCUGGAAAAUGCUUGGACAGUUUUGCCUAUGGAAGUUCUUCAAGGUGUGACCCAUGCAGCCAUCUGGGCAGCUUGCAUUUCCUACCUGAGUGCUGCUGUUCCUCCCGAAUUAAGAACUUCCGCUCAGGGUAUUCUGCAGGGUCUCCACCUUGGCCUGGGCAGAGGGUGCGGAGCAAUGGUUGGAGGAGUGCUGGUCAACUAUUUCGGAGCUGCUUCGACAUUCAGAGGGAUAGGAAUGGCCUGUCUUGUGAUCCUAUUGCUUUUUGCUUUGAUCCAGUGGGUGGCAGUUCCUGAUGAGAAAGAAGAAAAAACCAUGCUGGCCGAACGGAUCCCAGUGCCUUCCAGUCCCGUGCCCAUAGCUACCAUUGACCUGGUACAGCAGCAGACGGAAGAUAUCAUGCCUCGCCCAGAGCCCAAGCUUCCUCCCAAGAAAACAAAGCACCAGGAAGAGCAAGAAGACGUCAACAAGCCUGCCUGGAGUGUCAGCUCUUCCCCGUGGGUCACUCUCGCCUAUGCUCUCUAUCAGAUCAAGGAAAUGGUCCAGCUCUCCAAAAGCAACCAGGUGCUCGAGAACCAGCCUCUGCAGAAAGCCAACAAUAGUCAUGAAUUUGCACCAGGCGUCACACAGAAUCAAAGCAGUGAUGCGUCUGCAGAGACUUCUGUACCUACGGCAGCUCCUGAAACCCAUCUCAGCCCAGGCUGCCCCGAUCCAGACCCAGACCCUGCAGAUUGCAGCGCUCAGCCUCCCGAGGUAGGGCAGGAAUAGGGAUGCCUGUCUUCAUCUUGCUGCACCGGAUCCUGCUCUUUGCGGGGAGCUGAGAGGAAUGUUGAAACGAAAAGCUCGAAACUGCAGCUCCUUUCAUCUCGGCGAUGGUAACCUGACACAGCACACAUUUUUAAAUAUUUAAGGCCUUUUUCUGUGUCAAAGCCCAAUAGGCCUGUGGCAGGAAGGACUAAAAACCUAGGAAGGCUAGGCCAGAAGAGGCCGGCGUCAAAAUAACUAGCAGAGGAGUUAAAAUAUUCCACACAAAAUGCUCUUCAACCUUUGCGGGAACGAGGUUUGGGGUCCAUUUCUGCGUAAACAAAACGGAAAUCUAACUUGGUAGUGGAUUUAAUUUGUGAAAGGAAAGUCUGCUUCGGUUCCGAAAGCAGAAUGCUGCAUUGCAUUUUCUCUUGCUUGAGACAAAUUAUUAUUAUUAUUAUUAUUAUUAUUAUUAUUAUUAUUAUUAUUAUUAUUAUUAAAAUCAGUUCUUAGGGAAGGGGAAAAGAGAAUUCAUAGGUAUUUCUCUCUCCACCCACCCUAAGUCUUAUGUUAAUUUAUUGGGAGGCAUAUUAGUUUCCCAAGGAGAGAUGCAUAAACUACUGAAACUCUAUAGAGAGACUACGCUAGUUAAAUACCUAAAUGAAGGAGUGGCUGAGAAUUCUGUCUUUUGUAAAGACUUUUCAGGAACUUUGAAUAGCUUUGGGCCAGUUGAGUUCUAUGUUAAAAACGACUCUUGGAUCCUUUUGAACUGGCCAGGUUGCUGUUCACUGCUCUCUGGCCAGGCUGCAGGGCAUUGCUAAGGGCACUGAGACUGAAUCAAAACUAUUCGGCCGCCUACAACCCUUUGUUUACGAGGCUGUGGGUUAGGGCUUGUGUUUGUGUUGUGUAGGUUUGGCGUCAUGCAUAAAAAAAACCCUUGACUGUAAUUGUUCCGUUUGUGAGAAUAUGGGACCCAGUUGACCCAACCCAACGUGGGGAGAAACUGUGUGUGGAGGUGAAUCUUUCCUUUCCAACCCCCCUGUUACAGUCAGCUAUGGGGUAUUUGCAUGGAUGCUGAUAGGCAGGAGACACAUAUGCACAUCUGGGACCUAUGGCUCUUCUCCUAGCUCACAUAGGAUGUCAGAAUCCUUCUUUGGACUUUGGGACACCCCCAGGUCUUGCCAGGGAAUACCCAUAACAAGAUUCACAUGUGGUUUGUGUUGACAGCACCUUUUGCUUGGUGCAAGAGAGGGGAUCCUGCUGCACCUCUACAUCAGGGCCAAUAUGUUUUAUCUCAUGAUAGUGUAAAAUUUAUUUUAUUGGGAGGCGCGGUUAUAUUUAUUUAUAGCAGGGGUGAGGAGCCUGCGGUUCUCUAGACGUUGCUAGGACUACACAUAACAUGAUCCUUGACCAGGGGCUCUGGCUGAUGGCAGCUGGAGUCCAUCAACAUUUUUUUUUAAAAAAAAUAAUUUUUAUUGAUUUUAAUAUAAACAAAAACAAAACAUAGCAUAGUAUAUAUACUCCGUCCCUCCAUCCUCCCUUCCCCCCACCAGCUCACUUCUGCCACCAGUAGGACCCGUAGGCGUUGAGAGUCAAAGGCGGUCCAUUUUAAAGCUGAGUUUGUCCUCCACCCCCCUCCUCCACCACCAGCCCCCCUGCCAACAUUUUUUUGGGGCGGCAGACUGCCAGUUCCCCACUCGAUGUGUGGGGUACAUUUAAAGUGCCUGUGGGCUGCCAAAAAGGGGUGGGACACAAAUCCUAACGAUUUUUGGUUAGGAAAAUGUGAAAUCAUUAAUAUAAACACAGCUGGAAUGACAGGAGAGCCAUCCUAUGUACAGUAAAUGAAAAAUCGGCACAAGUACGUUUUGAGCUGUCGCAAUAACACUUUGUGUUGCUUGUCAAAUACACUGGCAGAUUCAGGCUUCUUUUUCUUUUCUUGCUUCCCAAAUGUUAGUCAAACCCGAUUUAUAGCUGAGAAAUGUUAUGGCAGCUGGGACAACCCAGCCAGGCAGGUGGGGUAUAGAUAAUAACAUUCUUAUUUAUUCCAGGCCGAAGCCCUGAGGCUCAAGAGGGUUGCUAAAAGCUCUCUCUCGUGUGGAGCUGCUGCUUCAAAAGGGCAGGGUUGCCCUCAUACAGAAAGGGGGCACAGCACCAAACCACGGUUGUCUUCUGGCAGUCAAGCGAUGUGGCACUUACACCCCUGGGCAGACCAGCCUGUAUACUAAGAUUAAUUUCCUGAACUGGCUUUUGGGUGAGGACGGGGAGAGACAUUACAUUCCAUGUAAUCAAGAGAAGGCCGCAGGCGAUCGAUCCUUUUAAAAGGCAAACAGAAAUGUACAGCCUGGUGUCCACAGGUGUUUUGGACUACAUCUCCCAUCAGCCCCCCCCCACACAACAUGCAGCAGAUGUGUGGUAUGCAGGAGGAAUAAGGCACGGAAAACAUACUUAUUCUAGUCUAAGAAGCGUUUAUUAUUUGCAGCAGCAAUACAGUUCAUCCCAGAGAAAGGCACGGCAUUGUGCUUCUCCGUUCAUGGUAAAACCGAAACCCAAAACACAGCAGUUCGCAUUACAGACAGUGAACAGACACUCCCCAGUUUCACAGGAUGCACUUCCGCAGAGCACUUAACCCUAUAAGCUCUGGUUCACAUAGCACCCCCCCCCUCAUCCUGUACCACUGGGGGAACAGUAAGUGUACACAACUUACCCCAAACACAACCCUUCACAGAACUCCCCAUGCCUUUGGAAGCUCAAAGGUUUCGUGAAACCAUCUGCCAGGUUCUUCUGACUUGGACAGUAUUUCAGCUUGACCAAGCCUAAUAAAUAUGCCUCAGGCUUUUUGGUUAUUGAUUUUUUCAUCAUUAUCUUCAUCAUGUACCAUUAGCCAAAAGAUUCUGAUUUUCUCACACAUCCACCACAUAUGCAUCAUCGUUCCUGCUUCUUUAUUGCAUUUCCAGCACAAUUUGGUCUUCAAUUUAUAUAUUCUAGAAAGCUUUAUUGGCGUUAGGUACCAUCUGUAAUACAUUUUAAUAAAAUUUUCCUUAAUAUUAUACGAGGCUGUGAAUUUAAUAUUUUCUUUCCAAAGUUUAUCCCAUUGCUCAAGGUAAAUUACCAAAUCAAAAUCCUUUGACCAUUUUAUCAUGGUUUCCUUCACCUCCUCAUCCAUUAAAUCCCAAUCUAAAAGCAGAUUAUAUGUUCUUGAUAAUUUCUUUUUAUUUUGAAUCACUUUAGAAUUUAGAAUUUUCUUUUGAGAACCCCCUUUUUUAAAAAUCAGCAUUAAACAUACUUAAAAGCUGUAUGUACUGCCACCUAUCCACAUCGAAUCCUAUUAUUUCCUCGAAUGUCUUUAAUCUAUAAGUGACUUGUUGCUCUUCUAUUAAUUGUCCUCCCGAGCAGCACUGGCAGCUUUGUCGUUCUGGUCGGAGCAGAGUUUGGCAUUCUCCAGCUUGGCCUGGUAGGUCUGCUCCAGUUCCAGCUUGUAGAGCCGGACCUGCUCAUCAUGCUGCCAGCGAAGGUCUUCCAGCAUCUGAGAGAGUCUGGACUCGCACUCCUGCUGGCGGUUGCUAUCCACCUCCACCAACUGUGCUGGCCCCGGGGGUGCCCAGCCCAGUGGAUACCUGGUGGGAUGACCAGAAACUCACCCGGGGCCGAGCAGAGGCAUGGUCAACAGUCCGGGUCAACAGUGGUAGGUCCAAGCGAGACAACCAAGUCCAGGGGCUGGGCGAAAGCAGAAUCAGGAAACAGUCCAUGGGUCUAGCCAGGUAGCCAUUGGUCAAAAACAUGCUAUGGGUUCAUCCGUAAAGCAGGGUCAAAGUCCAGUCCUAGGUCCAGGAGUCCAGCAAGGGGUCAGUCCGGCAGGGAGCAAGGCAGGAAGCAAGGCAAGGUACAGGUCAGGAACAGGCACGAGGUCACGGGCAGGUUCACGUUAGCAACUAUGUUGCUCACACAACUUGGGUCUGGGUCUGGCCAGCUUUUAUCUGCCCCGAGGCAUGGGGAGGCCCUGAUCCUCCAGUGACUCUCCUCUCCUUCUGUCCUGGAGGCGAGCACUCCUGCUGCAAGAACUUAGUUCCCUUCGCCUCUCUGCCCUUCGCCUCCGCAGCUCAGGAGAGGCUGGUGGAUUACUUGACCUAGGGGCAGCCUCGGCUUCCCCUGACGGGGCUGGGAGUGGAGCAGCUUCAGGCAAUGGGCCUUCCAUCACAUUGGGGCCCAGAGCAGACUCGGCUGAUGACUGCACCUGAGGAUCCUGCGCAGGUGAGGGCCCUUUAGGCUCAUGCCCUAGACCCGGCUCAGCUGGUUCUGGAGGCAGGGAACCCUGUGCAGGCUGGGACCCCUCAGGUUCAGCAUCUGAGUCCGAAUCCCAGGCCAUCACACCAACUGGCGCUCGUGCCGCUUCCGUGUCUCCCGCACCUCCUCUUCAAAAAUGUUCUUCCUGAAGUCAAGCUCCUUGCAGGCUCUGGCAGCGAUUCUCCAGGUCCACCCACAUUAGAGUCUCCUUCUCUAGCUGCUGCUUUGCCACAGCAUGAUCAUCUUCUGACUUGGCCAGCUGCGCAUGCAGGUUGGCCACUUCCACCUCCAGGUCGUGCUUCUCUGUCAGGGUUACCAUGAUUUCUGCUUCGCUCCGAUGGAAGAGGACUUCCAGCUCCUUGAUGCGGCCCUGAGAUGUGGACAACUCCCCAUCUUCCUUUUUGUAGCUCUUUGCAAGCUCAUCAAGUUCCGCUUGCAGCUUCCCAAUUUCAAUCUGCAGCUUGGCCCUCUCUCUGGCCGUCUCUGUCGAGAAUUCCUUCACGGUGCUUUAGCAGAAAUGCUCGGGGUUCCAGGUUCUUCAGUGCAGUAUAUACUGCAGCGUCAGCUCUCCAGCUGGCAAAACUUCUAGAGUGAGACAUAGGUGCUCAAAGCUUUUGUCCAGGGAACUUGAAAGGAUGCACGCCUGAAAAUCUUCCUCAAAAGUAACCUGCAACUGCCGCAGCUUAUUAAACACAGCAACCACUUUAGCAACAUGUUCAGUCACACUGGUUCCCGGCUGUAAUUUGAGCUCAAAAAGACGUCGGGUGGCGUAUAGUUUUGUGCCAGCUGUGGUUCUUCUGUGCACGCCUUCCAAAGCCUGCCAGACCCCGUGCACAUCUUCCACCCUCUGGAUGUAGGGUAGCUGAGAAUCACCCAACCCAGCACUAUGGAACUAACCGCACAUUGGUCCUUUCUCUUGGCAGCUUCGUGCCUGUCAAGAACGGCUUGGGCAGCUCCCGCAGCAGGCGAGGUUAAGGGAUUAAGGGUACAUUCCCACAGACGCUUCCCAGCUAGCCACGCCUUGGCUUUAAUUGCCCAGGUACCCCAGUUUUGACUAUUCAGCCUCUCAAACGGGACAACAAAACUCUCCUGGGGUUGGGUCAUCUCUCCCCUGGGGCUUGAACGUACUCACGCAGUAGCUCUUGGCACCUGGCUACGGACCGAUGGCAUCUCUCCUUCUGCUGCCAACGAGUGCUUCUAUUUCACGCUAAAAAGCAUGAAAUAGGUCUCUCUAAACUGGCUGGUUUCCCUCCUUGGCUCAAGCAGCCAAGAGGGUUGUCCCGGCAAUAGCAGCGUGUCUCCCUGCUGCCAGCACACACACAGCUCCUCCGUGCUCCCUCUGCAAACCACACAACUGUCUAGUCCCGAACGUAGUCGAACUUGGCGAAGGCUGCUUGCAAGGAAGCAGGUCAGAUUUUCAGAUCUGUUCUAAGCAAAGCUGCAUGGGGGGUCACACUUGGCAUGAAUGCAGACCACGUAACAGAAUACCUCAAGCUAGGUCGUGUGGAAGGCAAAAGAGCUGGUUUUCGCCCCUUGGAUUUUUGCAUGGAAUACUAUGGGGUUUUCCCAAUGCAUAAUAAGCCUUACAGAAUCUAGAUGUGGACACCUGGGACCAAACAACAGAGAGUACUUGAUAAGUGUUGGGUUUUUGUUUUUUUGCACUUCCACUUAAAUGUACUGUAAAUUUCUAAUGACUUGUUUAAGUGUCCUUUAAAAGAGAGAGAAUCAGAAUCGUAUUUAUUAUGUUACAGCUAGGGUACGUGUGUGUGGAGGUUAGGAAACAACCAAGCAGAUGACAGGCUAAAAACAGUUUUAAAAUAAAAUAUUAAACCCUCUCUUUAGCUAAUUCUUAGAGAUUCACAUGGCUAAUGUUGCCAGUAACACCUGAAUAUGCAGCAGCUGCGUUUUGACGCUUUGAGCUUACGCGUGAACGUUUACACGUCUGAAUUGUCUGUUGAACUUGUUCCUUCGUUACACGCAGGUGAUGAGACCGUACACGGGUUUUCGUAUUUGUGAAAAUUGUUAAGAUGUAGUGAGAGAAAUAAAAUUUCACUGUAUAUGUAAAACAAUCUCUGGCACUGCUCAUUUAUUAUUAUGCCCAGGCUCAUACAACUGCAUGGAGUCGGCACAAAUAACUAUCAUGAGUGCCCGUGAUGUCAUGAUGUCACACUGCGAUGUCAUGAUGUCACACUGUGAUGUGAUGUCAUGGCAUCACACGUGCCCCCUGGCCUUGGAACCCGACUUCCAGUGCCACCAGAAGUCAGGUUCCGAGGUCUCGGACAGCAUCUCCGAGGUCUCACGAGGCCUCGGACGUGACUGAGCACCCACAAUGAAAAUUUUGUGGGAGCUUGGGUACCUAGAGCCCCCUAUAGUUAGCACCCCUAUGCCUCAUUCACCAGAAAUUCAUUAAUCGCUGAAAACCACUCAUAGAGGCACCUUACUGCAAUAAACAAUCUUAGUGAUUUAUUGGGGAGCCAUUUUGCUCACCCUUGGUAUUUAAUAACACAAAAUGGUUUGUCUGCUGUUCUCCAGACCCACUAUUUACUCAUCCCAACUCCCUGCAGGGAGCGGGCAGAAUAUCAGUGGGAGUAACCUCCGCUUCCUUGCCCAUUCAAAAUCUCGCUGCUCUUCAUCCUCGGCUGUUGCUGGAUACAGAUGCUCUUUGCAAGACUCCCCCCCUGGCUACAGCAUUGGAGUCUUCCAGCUCAUGCCUCUGCUUCCUCUACUUUUAAGAGAAUAUUGUGCCUGAGCAGCUCCUGCCUUUCGAAGUCCCCUUGGGCAGUCGAGCUCAGCUUUAAAAGCUGUCUUGCAUGAGCAGUGUAGCCAUUCGUACGGAUUUGAAUCUUG